rnacentral:rRNA from 1 species
GACGAACGCUGGCGGCGUGCUUAACACAUGCAAGUCGAGCGAUGAAAGCCUUAUGAACUAUUCGUAGUGAUUGGGGCCGGAUUAGCGGCGGACGGGUGAGUAACGCGUGAGCAACCUGCCUUAAACAACGGGAUAGCCUCGGGAAACCGGGAUUAAUACCGUAUGAGACCCCGCCUUCACAUGAAGAAGAGGUUAAAGAUUUAUCGGUUUAAGAUGGGCUCGCGUCUGAUUAGCUAGUUGGUGAGAUAAAAGCCCACCAAGGCAACGAUCAGUAACCGGCUUGAGAGAGUGAACGGUCACAUUGGAACUGAGACACGGUCCAAACUCCUACGGGAGGCAGCAGUGGGGAAUAUUGCACAAUGGGGGAAACCCUGAUGCAGCGACGCUGCGUGAGCGAUGAAGGAAUUCGUUUCGUAAAGCUCUGUCCAAGGGGAAGAUAAUGACAGUACCCUUGGAGGAAGCCCCGGCUAAAUACGUGCCAGCAGCCGCAGUAAUAC